GACGCUGGCGGCAGGCUACCAAUGGAUGCAGAGCGCGCCUUCGGGUGAGCGGCGGACGGGUUAAUAACGCGUGGGAACGUGCCCUUCUCUACGGAAUAGCCUCUGGAAACGGAGAGUAAUACCGUAUACGCCCUUUGGGGGAAAGAUUUAUCGGAGAAGGAUCGGCCCGCGUUAGAUUAGGUAGAUUGGUGGGUGUAACUGGCCUACCAAGCCCUACGGACUCUAUAGGCUGGAUUUUAGCAGGCAUAGAUCAGGCAAGCGACUGG
rnacentral:rRNA from 1 species